AGAGUUUGAUCCUGGCUCAGGACGAACGCUGGCGGCGUGGAUUAGGCAUGCAAGUCGAACGGUAUGGUGCUUUCGGGCAUCAGAGAGUGGCGAACGGGUGAGUAACACGUAGGUGAUCUACCCUCAAGACGGGGACAACCCAGGGAAACUUGGGCUAAUACCGGAUGAUAGCAGCAGUGAUGUUGUUUAAAAGAUGGCUUUCGGGCUGUCGUUUGGGGAUGAGCCUGCGUCCUAUUAGCUAGUUGGUGUGGUAAAGGCACACCAAGGCGAUGAUAGGUAGGCGGCCUUAACGGGUGGUCGCCCACACUGGGAUUGAGAUACGGCCCAGACUCCUACGGGAGGCAGCAGUCGAGAAUAGUCUACAAUGGUCGGAAGACUGAUAGUGCGACGCCGCGUGAACGAGGAAGCCCUUCGGGGUGUAAAGUUCUUUUAUAUGUGAGCAGUGGGUUCUACGUUAAUAGCGUGGGAUAAUCCCGCGGCCAUGGCGGCCGGGAGCAUGCGACGUCGGGCCCAAUUCGCCCUAUAGUGAGUCGUAUUACAAUUCACUGGCCGUCGUUUUACAACGUCGUGACUGGGAAAACCCUGGCGUUACCCAACUUAAUCGCCUUGCAGCACAUCCCCCUUUCGCCAGCUGGCGUAAUAGCGAAGAGGCCCGCACCGAUCGCCCUUCCCAACAGUUGCGCAGCCUGAAUGGCGAAUGGACGCGCCCUGUAGCGGCGCAUUAAGCGCGGCGGGUGUGGUGGUUACGCGCAGCGUGACCGCUACACUUGCCAGCGCCCUAGCGCCCGCUCCUUUCGCUUUCUUCCCUUCCUUUCUCGCCACGUUCGCCGGCUUUCCCCGUCAGCUCUAAAUCGGGGGCUCCCUUUAGGGUUCCGAUUUAGUGCUUUACGGCACCUCGACCCCAAAAAACUUGAU
rnacentral:rRNA from 1 species